AAACACAACUCCUUAUUCUUCUUCUUCAUCAAUUCUAUUCUCCCUUUGUCAAGAAGCUCAAAGAGAGAGAGGAAGAGAGAGAGAAAGAGAGAGAAUUUCUGAGAGAAAAAUCUGUGAUAAUUCUUCAAUAUGAAUUGAGAAUCGAAGAAUUGUAUGAGUACACAGCAAAGACGAACAAACGAGAAAGAGAAAAAUCAUAAAUCAUGCGACGUGCUUUAUGGUUUUAUGUAUUCUGGUGUAAUUUCCUUUUAUAAUUGUUAUUGUGAAUACUUCUUGCGAUAGUUGGAAUCUAAUUGUAUUUUUUUUCAUAUUUGCACAAGUUUUAGUCACUAGUAAAUUGAUUCCAACAUCUUUUUAAGUAAAUAUUUGUAUAUUGUUAUUCUGUAGUAUGUUUAGAAAUUUGAUUGGGCCAUAAUGGAUUGUAGUUGUUUUCUCAACUACCUUCACAAUAUUUAUUUAGUUUGACUAAUCUUUCUAUAUAUUUUAUUUGUGUUCUUUGAAAUUUGAAUAUAAUGGAGUCAUUCUAUAUCUUGAAAUAUGAAAGGAAUUGAGGGCAGAAAAAGAGCAAGACACAGAGAGAGACACUCUGUGAGUGUGUUUUGUGUAUUACGUAGUGUCAUUAAUGUCCCUUGUCAUAUAUGUUAAAUUGGUUAGAGUCUGAACAGCUUUUUCUUUGGAAACUGGGUUUUAACUUCUUUUAUGAUAGAUAAUUUCAUGUAUCAUAAUGUCUUAUAUUUCAUGUUAUAACUUAUAACUAUGAGAUUUACUCAUAAGCAAUUUAGUUAUACUCCUGCCUAAUCAGCCAUCAUUUCUUGAUAUCAAGUAACUAAUAAUGCUUGGUCAAUGUCAUUGCUAGUUUGCAUCAUUUACACUUCUAGUAUUCUUUAGUAACAAAUCAAGGUAGUUAUAGUUGGGUGAGACGUAUAUCAAAUUCCUGCCAUGGUAUUUAUAUCUGAAAAAGAAAUUAGAAAUCACCUAAAAGCUUGACAUUGCUAAGAUGGAAUUCAAUUUUAAAAGAACAUCAGUGAUAUGCCGAAGUGGGAGCCCUCUGAUUCUAGCUGACCUGAAAAAGGUAGCUGUCUCCAAGGCCCGUGCAAUCAUUGUCCUUGCUGAAGAUGGAAAUGGUGACCAGAGUGAUGCUCGUGCACUUAGAACAGUUUUAAGUCUAACUGGAGUUAAGGAAGGGCUUAGAGGACACAUAGUUGUGGAACUUAGUGAUCUUGACAACGAGGUCCUUGUUAAACUUGUUGGCGGAGAUCUUGUACAAACUUUUGUGGCUCAUGAUGUAAUUGGUCGUUUGAUGAUUCAAUGUGCUCGGCAGCCAGGACUUGCACAGAUCUGGGAAGAUAUUCUUGGGUUUGAAAAUUGUGAGUUCUACACCAAGAGAUGGCCAUAGUUGGAUGGCAUGCAAUUUGAGGAUGUCUUAAUUAGUUUUCCUGAUGCCAUUCCUUGUGGAGUCAAGGUUGCAUCAUAUGGUGGUAAAAUUGUUCUUAAUCCGGAGGAUUCCUAUGUCCUACAAGAAGGCGAUGAAGUUCUUGUUAUAGCUGAGGAUGAUGACACCUAUUCUCUAGCAGCACUGCCUACGGUCAAAGAAGCAUCAUUCAAAAAAAUUGCCCGACCAGUUUGGAGAGGAAGUCUACCCAAAGAUUUUUUUGUUCCAAAAUCUACAGAAAAGAUACUUUUAUGUGGUUGGCGACGAGAUAUGGAGGAUAUGAUUAUGGUAUUGGAUGCGUUUCUAGCACCUGGUUCAGAGCUUUGGAUGUUCAAUGAUGUUCUUGAAAAGGAGAGGGAGAAGAAGCUUACUGAUGGUGGACUUGACAUAAACCGAUUGGUGAAUAUAUCCUUGGUUCAUCGCGAGGGAAAUGCUGUAAUAUGGCGUCAUUUAAAAAGCCUUCCCCUGCAAUCUUUUGAUUCAAUCUUGAUUCUAGCUGAUGAAUCUGUGGAAGAUUCUGCAAUUCAAGCCGAUUCCAGAUCUCUUGCCACAUUACUAUUAAUUCGUGACAUUUAGGCAAAACGUCUCCCAUUCAGAUACUCAAGUUCAUAGAGGAAGCUUCUCACAAGGGUCUUGGAUAGGAGAUAUGCAGCAAGCUUCAGAUAAAUCAGUUAUAAUCAGUGAAAUUCUGGAUCCAAGGAAAAAAAAUUUAUUAUCCAUGUCAAAGAUCAGCGAUUAUGUUUUAUCAAAUGAGCUUGUCAGCAUGGCACUGGCCAUGGUUGCAGAGGAUCGACAAAUAAAUGAUGUAUUAGAAGAGCUCUUUGCUGAGGAGGGGAAUGAGAUGCAUAUAAGACAAGCAGAUCUCUAUCUUCGUGAAGGUGAGGAAUUGAGUUUCUAUGAGAUACUCUUACGAGCCCGACAAAGGAGGAAGAUUGUGAUUGGUUAUCGUUUUGCCAAUGCUGAGAGAGUUGUCAUCAAUCCCCCUGCUAAAAGCGAGAGACGAAGGUGGUCAUUGAAGGAUGUAUUUGUGGUUUGCUGAGAAAGAUGAGUGAUGAAAUAGGGUAUCGUUGAAAGGAAAGAAAUUUUGUUUAUAAUCAGGAAAGGAUUGAAGACCUUAGUCUCCAAAGUCAUUGAGAUUGUAAAUUUACUGAUGGCCUGCAAGAGAACAGACCAGCAAUCCCAUCUAGAUUUCCUGUCCCAGAAAUCAACCUCAGUUUUUGACUGGUAUUCCAAAUAAUUUUCUGAUCAGAUGGAAAUGAGCAACUCAAAUUUAAUGCCCACCUCUCUCUGUAUUUCAUUAAUCAUAGUGAUUGUUUUAUAUUAGUCAGCUGUGUAGCAUCCGUUUAUAUACCAUCACUGUAAAUAAAGUUGAAAAAAAUGCCAUGUUCUUCCUUAUCCUACUUGCAAAUGUGGUUUAAGGAUUUGAAUCCCUCAUUUGCAUUCCUAUGGUAGCUUAUAUGUUUAUGGUUGUAAAUGGAUUGAACU